rnacentral:rRNA from 1 species
GACGAACGCUGGCGGCGUGCCUAACACAUGCAAGUCGAGCGAAUGAAGUUCCUUCGGGAACGGAUUUAGCGGCGGACGGGUGAGUAACACGUGGGCAACCUACCUCAUAGAGGGGAAUAGCCUUCCGAAAGGGAGAUUAAUACCGCAUAAGAUUGUAGUACCGCAUGGUACAGCAAUUAAAGGAGCAAUCCGCUAUGAGAUGGGCCCGCGGCGCAUUAGCUAGUUGGUGAGGUAACGGCUCACCAAGGCGACGAUGCGUAGCCGACCUGAGAGGGUGAUCGGCCACAUUGGGACUGAGACACGGCCCAGACUCCUACGGGAGGCAGCAGUGGGGAAUAUUGCACAAUGGGGGAAACCCUGAUGCAGCAACGCCGCGUGAGUGAUGACGGCCUUCGGG